UAGGGAAUAUUAGAAAUGGACGAAAGUCUGAUCUAGCAACACCGCGUGUGCGAUGAAGGCCUUCGGGUCGUAAAGCACUUUUUGGAAGGAAUAGGAAGGAAUGUACUUCCAGAAUAAGUCUCGGCUAACUACGUGCCAGCAGCCGCGGUAACACGUAGGAGGCAAACGUUAUCCGGAUUUACUGGGCGUAAAGCGCGUGUAGGUGGUACUGUAAGUAGGGCGUGAAAGCUCCGGGCUCAACUGGGAGAGGGCGUUCGAAACUACAGAGCUAGAGGAUGGUAGAGGGAGGUGGAAUUCCAGGUGUAGCGGUGGAAUGCGCAGAUAUCUGGAGGAACACCGGUGGCGAAGGCGGCCUCCUGGACCAUUCCUGACACUCAGACGCGAAAGCUAGGGUAGCAAACG
rnacentral:rRNA from 1 species